CCUACGGGACGCAGCAGUGGGGAAUAUUGCACAAUGGGGGAAACCCUGAUGCAGCGACGCCGCGUGAGUGAAGAAGUAAUUCGUUAUGUAAAGCUCUAUCAGCAGGGAAGAAAAUGACGGUACCUGAGUAAGAAGCCCCGGCUAACUACGUGCCAGCAGCCGCGGUAAUACGUAGGGGGCAAGCGUUAUCCGGAUUUACUGGGUGUAAAGGGAGCGUUGACGGCAGUGCAAGUCUGGAGUGAAAGGCGGGGGCUCAACCCCCGGACUGCUCUGGAAACUGUACGGCUGGAGUGCAGGAGAGGUAAGUGGAAUUCCUAGUGUAGCGGUGAAAUGCGGAGAUAUUAGGAGGAACACCGGUGGCGAAGGCGGCUUACUGGACUGUAACUGACGUUGAGGCUCGAAAGCGUGGGGAGCAAACAGGAUUAGAUACCCUGGUAGUC
rnacentral:rRNA from 1 species